AUUGAACGCUGGCGGCAGGCCUAACACAUGCAAGUCGAGCGGUUGAGGUAGCUUGCUACCGAAGCAGCGGCGAACGGGUGAGUAAUACAUGGGAAUCUGCCUGGUAGUGGGGGACAACGCUUCGAAAGGAACGCUAAUACCGCAUACGCCCUACGGGGGAAAGGGGGGGAUCUUCGGACCUCUCGCUAUCAGAUGCGCUCAUGUCAGAUUAGCUUGUUGGUGAGGUAAAGGCUCACCAAGGCGACGAUCUGUAACUGGUCUGAGAGGAUGAUCAGUCACACUGGAACUGAGACACGGUCCAGACUCCUACGGGAGGCAGCAGUGGGGAAUAUUGGACAAUGGGGGCAACCCUGAUCCAGCCAUGCCGCGUGUGUGAAGAAGGCCUUAGGGUUGUAAAGCACUUUCAGUGGGGAGAAAAGUGAUUCACCUAAUACGUGAGUCAAUUGAUGUUACCCACAGAAGAAGCACCGGCUAACUCCGUGCCAGCAGCCGCCGCCGUAA
rnacentral:rRNA from 1 species